CACUCACAGUGUUAUGGACAGCACCAAGCCAUGAGGGGCCCACCCCCCAUGACCCAAACUCCUCCCACCAGUCUCCACCUUCAACAUUGGGAUUACAAUUCAACAUGAGAUUUGGUGGGGAUGAAUAUCUAAACUAUAUCAGGAGGGGAAAGGGAUGCACAGGGGGGUUCUGCAUUCCUUAAGGGUAAGGUCCAAGCAGGAGCCUGGGAGCUGAUUUUCUACCCAGGCUACCCUGCC